AUUUGGGGUUGAUUUGAAACGCGAAUUGGACUGGUUUCUGAUGCAGGCGGUUCUUCAACUAAGCAACAUUAGCUUGAGGGACUCUAUAGGUCCAACUGGAAGGCGUUUGCAUGGGCAAUAGGGAAUUUUCCCCCGCUUUUAGCUGAUUAAAUGCUGUAAAUUCUAUAUCUAGUAUCUUUUUAUGCGCUUAUUUCUUGCUGUUACAUUUAUAUCAAAUGUACACUCGAUCGUCAAAUCCGUAUAGAUUUUUCAGUAUCAGUACUAUUAAGUUCCUUACGCCGCUAACAUCUAUUAAGUUAUUUUUUUCAUCAUGUUACUAUGUAUAAUGCAAUAGAAUGUCUUAAACUUGUUUCUCUUUAACAAUUUCCAUAUUAACCGUCCAAGAAUGUAUUUUUUACGGCAAAUAAAUUGACGGCAUGAAAAAUUGCCCUAAUAUUUCA